AGAGUUUGAUCCUGGCUCAGGAUGAACGCUGGCGGCGUGCUUAACACAUGCAAGUCGAGCGAGAAAGUUUCCUUCGGGGAGCGAGUAAAGCGGCGAACGGGUGAGUAACGCGUGGACAAUCUACCUCUAAGAGGGGGACAACAUUCGGAAACGGGUGCUAAUACCGCGUAAAGUUAUUGACAUUAGUUUGUUGAUAAUGAAAGGACUUCGGUCCGCUUAGAGAUGAGUCUGCGUCCUAUUAGCUAGUUGGUGGGGUAAAGGCCUACCAAGGCGACGAUGGGUAGCCGGCCUGAGAGGGUGAACGGCCACAUUGGAACUGAGACACGGUCCAAACUCCUACGGGAGGCAGCAGUGGGAAUAUUGCGCAAUGGGCGAAAGCCUGACGCAGCAACGCCGCGUGAGUGAUGAAGGCAUUCGUGUCGUAAAACUCUGUCAGGAGGGAAGAAGAUACGCAAGUAUUUGACGGUACCUCCAGAGGAAGCUCCGGCUAAUUACGUGCCAGCAGCCGCGGUAAUACGUAAGGGGCAAGCGUUAUCCGGAAUCAUUGGGCGUAAAGAGCACGUAGGUGGAUGUAUAAGUUAGUCGUUAAACUGCAGGGCUUAACCCUGUAUUGCGUCUAAAACUGUGCGUCUUGAGUGUAUGAGGGGAAAGCGGAAUUCCUGGUGUAGUGGUGAAAUGCGUAGAUAUCAGGGAGAACACCGGUGGCGAAGGCGGCUUUCUGGCAUACAACUGACGCUGAGGUGCGAAGGCUAAGGUAGCGAACGGGAUUAGAUACCCCGGUAGUCUUAGCAGUAAACGAUGGGUACUAGCUGUGGGAGGAUCGACCCCUUCUGUGGUGUAGCUAACGCGCUAAGUACCCCGCCUGGGGAGUACGGUCGCAAGAUUAAAACUCAAAGGAAUUGACGGGGGCCCGCACAAGCGGUGGAGCAUGUGGUUUAAUUCGAUGCAACGCGAAGAACCUUACCAGAUCUUGACAUCCUUUGCAACAUAUAGAAGUAUAUGGUUCUGCUUCGGCAGACGAAGAGACAGGUGGUGCAUGGCUGUCGUCAGCUCGUGUCGUGAGAUGUUGGGUUAAGUCCCGCAACGAGCGCAACCCUUGUUGCUAGUUACCAACAGGUUAAGCUGGGUACUUUAGCGAGACUGCCAGUUAAAAAACUGGAGGAAGGUGGGGAUGACGUCAAGUCAUCAUGCCCCUUAUGAUCUGGGCUACACACGUGCUACAAUGGACGGUACAAAGGGAAGCAAGAUAGUGAUAUGGAGCCAACCCCAAAAAGCCGUUCCAAGUUCGGAUUGGAGUCUGCAACUCGACUCCAUGAAGUCGGAAUCGCUAGUAAUCGUGGAUCAGCAUGCCACGGUGAAUACGUUCCCGGGCCUUGUACACACCGCCCGUCACACCAUCCGAGUUGGGUAC
rnacentral:rRNA from 1 species